AGUGGGUUGGCUCAGUGGUUAGAGCUUAGGUCUUAGUGACCGAAAGGUCACUGGAUCGAAUCCCGCUAGAGGCUG
rnacentral:tRNA from 1 species